UACGUAGGGGGCAAGCGUUGUCCGGAAUCAUUGGGCGUAAAGCGCGUGUAGGCGGCUGGCUAAAGUCCGCUCUGAAAGCCCGGGGCUCAACCCCGGGAGGCGGGUGGAUACUGGUCAGCUCGAGUCCGGAAGAGGAGUGUGGAAUUCCUGGUGUAGCGGUGAAAUGCGCAGAUAUCUGGAGGAACACCGGUGGCGAAGGCGGCAUCCUGGACCGAGAUUGACG
rnacentral:rRNA from 1 species